CGGAGCGAAUUGCAUGGUUGUUGUUUCUACUCGAUGGAUUCGCAGAUUAUUCGGAAAUAGAUCAGAUUGGGAUCAAUAACUUUAUUGCAUACGAUCAUUUACAUGUAUUACCAGAUGUGUGUUGCCAGUAAUGGUUGAAGAUAUGCCAAACAAAUUGUGCCUCUCUAUACAGACAGAUUUCAGGUCUCAAUUUCAACUUCAAAGGUCAACAUAUCACUGAUAUCAGGAAUUUUGUGAAACUGUGGCACCAUGUAUGGUACGUGAGCGCACAAUGUCUGUUGGAAAAAAGGAUAUUGGAAUAAGCAAAGGGACACAACAUUACACAGUUAUUUCAACAUGUAGAGUCUUGUCAGCAAUAAUGGAGCAGUACAUCAGAUUUCCAGAAUCUCGUCAUGAGCUGAAGAUCAUUGCCUAUGGAUUUCAUGAAUGAUGUAGAAUGAUUGGACUGUUGAUAGAACCCACAGUGCAUGUCCUGCUUCAACAUCUGAGCAUAGGUCCUUGUUUAUCAGCAGUUUAGUUCUUCAAGCAGUCUGUGACAGUAACUUGAAAUGUUUGGACAUAUGCCCUGGAUGGCCAAGUUCUGUGCAUGAUGCCCAUUUAAAUAGGAACGGCCCAGUGGCGCAUUAAAUGGACAAUUUUUAGCAUAGGUGCGUUUACGCACCUAUGCUUAUGGUAUAUACCACAUUUCGAAAAUCCACAUCGGUCGGCUGCCCUUUAUGAAGCUUACCUGAUCAAAAAUCAGACGAAAUAUCUAUUUAAUUUAGUAAAUGGUCAUUCUUACAAAUUUUUUUUGGAAACGUUUUUCUAACGUUUUCUUCCAAGAAUAUUGCUGACACCGUUUUUAGUGCAUUUUUCUAAGACCGUUUUAUGUUAAAAAAUCUUCUUAUAACCUAAAACAAAUUUCGUUCGUAAAACAAUUCUAUCUGCACUAUAAAUCUCAAUCUCCUACGCAGUGGCCUCCCUUAUACUAGAAGUUACUGACCGGGCGAAGCAAGGGAAGUAACUGCUGUGAGGAGUUUCUAUAAAAAUCUGCAUUCAGAAAUCUGUAUUCAUAACUCAAUCUGUUGUGCACGUCUGCAUCUAACCCUACCACAAGUUUUACGACAAAUUCUUGACGCAGACGAAUAGGGUAGCGUCUAUUUUCAUUUGUGAAAAGAAUAGUUCGAUACAGAUCUGUCCGUGCUUAAAUUUUGAAAGGCUUGGGUAAUUAUUGUUCAUAAGCGUUUCAAACACUGAUGUAAAUGGAAAGAUUAUCUAUUUAAAUAGUCGGUAAUUGUUUGAAAUUAUUGAUUUGAGAAAUUCGCGGAUGGCGAUAUCGAAUUACAUUAUACCACGUGACGCCAUUCUUCCCUGUAUCUUGCACCUAUGCUUUUAACGCCAUCGGCGCUCUCGUUCUAAUAUUCUCGUGGAUUCAGCGUACCGCCUGACAAGAAAUCUUGCUUUUUGUUCCGUAUCGAGGCCAUGGACAUUUGUAUCAUUUGCAAAAGAUACUACGAUAUUUGUGCCUUUGUUCAUGCUUUAUAGUUGAUUAACAAUUGGAAGCCAUAACCUGUUUUAUAGGAUGGUGUUAG